UACGUAGGGGGCAAGCGUUGUCCGGAUUUAUUGGGCGUAAAGCGCGUGUAGGCGGCCAGGUAGGUCGGUUGUGAAAAUUGGAGGCUCAACCUCCAGACGUCGAUCGAAACCAUCUGGCUAGAGUCCGGAAGAGGAGAAUGGAAUUCCUGGUGUAGCGGUGAAAUGCGCAGAUAUCAGGAAGAACACCAAUGGCGAAAGCAGCUCUCUGGGACGGUACUGACGCUGAGACGCGAAAGCGUGGGGAGCGAACAGG
rnacentral:rRNA from 1 species